rnacentral:misc_RNA from 1 species
GAUGAAGAACGCAGCGAAAUGCGAUAAGUAGUGUGAAUUGCAGAAUUCAGUGAAUCAUCGAGUCUUUGAACGCACAUUGCGCCCGCCAGCACUCUGGCGGGCAUGCCUGUUCGAGCGUCAUUUCAACCAUCAAGCCCCAGGCUUGCGUUGGAGCCCUGCGGCUGCCGCAGCCUCCUAAAAGCAGUGGCGGGCUCGCUAUCACACCGAGUGCAGUAGAUUACUCUUCGCUCAGGGCGUGCAGCGGGUUCCGGCCGUGAAACCCCCUACUUUUAAAGGUUGACCUCGGAUCAGGUAGGAAUACCCGCUGAACUUAAGCAUAUCAAUAAGCGGAGGA